AAAAAUCGUUUUCGGGCAUCGAUAAGGUAAACAGGUUUGUGUGGUUCGUGCAUCACCUAGUUAACAUUGCUAGAAAAAAUAGAGUUGUUGGUUAUCCGUCGGCGCAUUUGACCGUCGUUAAUCCCUCACAGAAGUCAGUGGAUAACUGUCGCAAACGAAACAACCCACUAGCAAAAUUUUGAAGGAUUUUCGUCGAGUGUAGAUCAGAUGGAAAUCCACUACCGACUUGCAACCGAGACGGCAAGCCACCCGGGUUCGAGACGGGCACCCUACCGAAGCAGAGCUAGGCCGCCCUCUGGAGCACAUGUAUUCCAGCGGUGCCACAACAGAGGCUCGAACUCGGAACCCAUCGUGCGGGAACCUCCCUAAGGAGUAAACCCUCACACCUCACCUGCAGACCACGGGGAUCGAACCUGGCUCUCCAAGGAGAAACCAAAUCCUUUCUAUCGUAUAUAAAUUAUAAGCUCGUAGUGUGUAUAACAUAAUUACAUGCACUGAGAAAGAGAAAUCGAUGGGAUUUAAUUCCACUUUUUGAGUUACAUGUAAAGUGAUAAAUAUAAAUGGUUAUAUACUUCGCUCAGUUUCCUA